UACGGGGGGGGCAAGCGUUGUUCGGAAUUACUGGGCGUAAAGGGCUCGUAGGCGGCCGACUAAGUCAGACGUGAAAUCCCUCGGCUUAACCGGGGAACUGCGUCUGAUACUGGUCGGCUUGAAUCCGGGAGAGGGAUGUGGAAUUCCAGGUGUAGCGGUGAAAUGCGUAGAUAUCUGGAGGAACACCGGUGGCGAAGGCGGCAUCCUGGACCGGAAUUGACGCUGAGGAGCGAAAGCCAGGGGAGCAAAGCGGG
rnacentral:rRNA from 1 species